UCAAUUGUCUUAUAAUUGAAGACUGGAAUGAAUGGUUGAACGAAAUUAAAACUGUUUCAUUUAUAUUAAUUAGAAUUUGGCUUUUAAGUGAAGAGAUUUAAAUUUAAUUGAUAGACAAGAAGACCCUAUUGAGCUUUAAAUAAUUUUAAAACUAAAAAUUUAUUAUUAGAGAUUUAAAUUUUAAAUAUUUUUUAGUUGGGGCGACUAAGGAACAGGGGUAGCUUCCUUUAUUUAUUAGAUUGAUAAAUUAUUGAUCCAGUAUUAAACUGAUUAAUAGAGAUAGUUACCAUAGGGAUAACAGCAUAAUCUUCUUGGGGAGUUCUUAUCGAAAAGGGGGGUUGUGACCUCGAUGUUGGAUUAAAAUAUCCUAAAGGUGUAGAGGC
rnacentral:rRNA from 1 species